AUCGUUCAAAGGCGAUAAACCCGUAAACAGGUUUGGAACUUUUACUUUUGUGAAGACCUAUUUCAACCCAGCUACUAUAAAGCCACCUUCACAACCAAGCGUCACCACCACCAGUACAGCAUGCUCUGUUAAACAGCUUGGCUAUGUAGUUUUUGCUAUGAUCCUUGUAAAUUUUUGUUGGUAAUUUUUUACAAAUAUUUGCACAAACAUAUACGUUUUAGAAACAUGUUCUAAGAACCAAUGUAAACAGAUUGUAAACAUAUAAUUUUUAAGAGAACUUGUUCUCAAAAACCUGAAAACAUUUUUGACAUAAUUCAUGCCGCCAAUUCUACCAAUAAUUGACACUUUGUGACAACUGUGAUAAAGUUGUAUAAAAGAUAGUAACAGAGAUGGUAAAUGAAAAGUAAUGGUAUAAAAUGAAAGCCUGAAGCCUCCUUACGGAAUACUUCUCUAUAAUACAGAUUGUUUAUGGACAGCGGACACUUAAUCUCUUACCUGGAGUGAAAACAUAUUGUAGAAUAAUAUACAGUGCAUAACGGAUAUAAUGUAGUUUAAUUAAAAAUCACCAUUAGUGAAUAUAGAUCUGUAGUUUUUUAUUUAUUCUUUUAAGAUCGACUUUCUAUUUCCGUGCGCCUACAUAGCGUUGUUCUUUCUAUUUAUAAUAAUAAUAAAAUAUAAUAAGUUUGUCACAGUUCACAUAUUAUG